rnacentral:tRNA from 1 species
GGCUAAUUGCCUAGUGGUUAAGAGCUUGGCUGUUAAUCAAAAGGUUGGUGGUUCAAAUCCACCAGCCG